ACAGGGAAUGAAAAAAAAAUCCCAAGAAAAACUAUCCAUUUAAAAUAAAAAGUCUCGAUGGUAAUCCUCUACAGUUCAAAUAUUUAAGUAUGCAUAAUGCAUAGCAUAGAAAGACGGUACUUUGGAAAAGACAAGUUUUUCUGACACUGAAUCCCAUCCCCCUCUAAAAAAAAAAUGAGGUGAUGAUUUUACCACACAAAAACG